CAGUCGACGGUCAAGCUUUGUGGUUACUACUUAGUGGAGAUAGUGGCGAACGGGUGAGUAACGCGUGGGCAACCUGCCCUGGAGACCGGGAUAACACCGCGAAAGUGGUGCUAAUACCGGAUAUGCUCUUAGUACCGCAUGGUACAGAGAGGAAAGAAAUUCGCUCCAGGAUGGGCCCGCGUCCCAUUAGCUAGUUGGUGAGGUAACUGCUCACCAAGGCGACGAUGGGUAGCCGGUCUGAGAGGAUGAACGGCCACACUGGAACUGAGACACGGUCCAGACUCCUACGGGAGGCAGCAGUGGGGAAUCUUCCGCAAUGGACGAAAGUCUGACGGAGCAACGCCGCGUGGGUGAUGAAGGUUUUCGGAUUGUAAAACCCUGUCAGGAAGGAAGAUAAUGACGGUACUUCCAAAGGAAGCCCCGGCUAACUACGUGCCAGCAGCCGCGGUAAUACGUAGGGGGCAAGCGUUGUCCGGAAUAACUGGGCGUAAAGAGCACGUAGGCGGUCUUUUAAGUCAGAUGUGAAAUAUCCCGGCUCAACUGGGAGGGUGCAUUUGAUACUGGAAGACUAGAGUGCAGGAGAGGAAAGUGGAAUUCCUAGUGUAGCGGUGAAAUGCGUAGAUAUUAGGAGGAACACCAGUGGCGAAGGCGGCUUUCUGGACUGUAACUGACGCUGAGGUGCGAAAGCCAGGGUAGCAAACGGGAUUAGAUACCCCGGUAGUCCUGGCCGUAAACGAUGGGUACUAGGUGUAGGAGGUAUCGACCCCUUCUGUGCCGCAGUUAACACAAUAAGUACCCCGCCUGGGGAGUACGGCCGCAAGGCUGGAACUCAAAAGAAUUGACGGGGGCCCGCACAAGCGGUGGAGCAUGUGGUUUAAUUCGACGCAACGCGAAGAACUUUACCAGGGCUUGACAUCUCUUGACCGUUUUGGAAACAAGACUUUCCGAUGCUUGCAUUGAACAAGGAGACAGGUGGUGCAUGGUUGUCGUCAGCUCGUGUCGUGAGAUGUUGGGUUAAGUCCCGCAACGAGCGCAACCCC
rnacentral:rRNA from 1 species